UAUAAAAUUAUAAAAUUAAUAUUCUGCUUAUCGUGUAUCGUGUUACCCACGUGUAUACCCAAAUCAACCUGUUAUCUUAACAGGUGCUUAUCGGGUUACCCGAUAAGGACCCGAUUCGUUAUCGUGUCGACCCGAACACCUGUUAAUUUCGUGUCGUGUCGUAUCGGGUUAUCGGGUCGUGUCAGGAAUUGCCAGGCCUAAGCAAAACAAUGCUUAUACAAAAUCCUUAUUUUCGAAUAUAUUAACCCCUCGCCGUAAAACAAGUAUAGUUUCCUUAAAACAUAGUAUGUAAGUAUGUAAACACUAAAACACAAUAUUAUAACAGUAUUAUAACCAGAAUAUGCCGAGUCAUGAUGUAUCGAAUGCCACAAUAAUAUAAUCAUGUGAUAAACAAGUAUAACUAAGUGCUCAUCCAUCUAAGCUGACACACGAGUUCGAACAGAUAAUUUCUGACACGAACAAGACUGGGUGUAAUGACAUGCCCCGACCCUAAAAUCAGGGCGUAUUGGCUGUCACGUGGGUGUGACGUAACAAAAAAUGCGACGCGGAAGCAAAAAGGUAAAAGAAAUACGAAGGAAUAAAAACCAACUACUAGCAAUAAUAUCCAACUAACAUGCUAGAGUGAGUUCAAGUGUGAAACACACAUAAUCAAAUCAUAAGUACUAGGUGCAGUCAAGUAGGACCAUUACUAAAUUACAACACCCGAAUGUGAGUCCUACAUUUAAAUAGUCUGUUAGAACGCUGUGGGAAUCCUUGGAGCCACCAACACUGCUAACUAGAACCUGGGGGGGGGCAAAACAAGAUUGAGUGGGUCAGUAAAACAAAGCUUUUCGAAAAUAUUUCAUUUAAUAACACUUCUAACCCCUCGCUGUAAAACUUGUAUACUUUCCCAGAAAAAUAGUAUAUAUAUAACCAUAUAUAAUAACAAAACUCAAAUCACAAGUCUUUAACACUUUUCAGGAAAAUAGUCCCAGGAUGGGUGACCCACUGGGAAGUUGCUCGUGAGUUCCUAAAAACAAAACCGUGAGGGAAUGAUAAGCCCAAAGCGAACAAUAUCAUACUACGGUGGUGGAUUGGGCCCGAGAUGUGGUGGACCCCAGGCUGGGAUGUGACAUGUAAUCAAUACGCUCUAGUACUACGAUCAUGUGAAGAUUAGUGCAGAAGCAAGUCACAUACAAGUUGAAUUGCCUAAUGCAAUCUACCCGACAAGACUGGCACCUAACUUUGAUCCAAGGCUAGCGAAUGGUGUGAUGUGAACAUACACAUGAAGGACUGGCCCUGACCCUCGGGCGACUACUAACACCGGGGUGCAGCAAGAUGAGCAUGUACAAAUAUGUAUGAAUGCCAUGACAGUAAUAUCUCAACCAUAUAACAGCAUUUAUCACAAUUAUAUCGUAGUUAUCAAUUAUUUGGUAAAAUAUACGCAAAGUGGUGUAAUUAUGCAAUUUUGGAAACUAUAAAUACGUAUAGAUAUAAAAUAAAAAACUACCCAUUCACAAGUACGUCGCUAGGUCGUAACCCCUAAGCUUAGCUUGGCCUCGAACGUCCUCAGGAUACGUUUCCUCUAUAUGUGAAAUAACUAAAAUAGAAUUAAUUAAAGCACAUAUACGGAAACCUAAAUAAAACCCCCAUAGUUUGCUUAAACUUAGAGUUUAAAUAUACCAUCGUGACCUACUCGACAUCACGAACAUCCCCAAUUUUUUAAAAUAAUUUUUGGAUGGCUCACGUGCCCCCACGUGCCGGCAAUGGCACGACUAGACACGCCCCCACGCGCAGGCCAGUGCCGUCAGUUAGCCUGAUGCAGUCAGGAAUAUUCCACGGAAUAUUUCGUUAAAAACUAACAGAAUUUAACGGCGUUACCUGACGCCGUCAGAAUAUUCCAUCACUAAUAUUUCGUCUCCUUCUCCGUCGAGCCUCUCCGUCACCGCCGUCUGCAACUCAACUUCGCCGGAAUUCUAGAAAAUUUUCAAAAGCACUGUUUGGAGUCCAAAAAGUGGACAGAGGUCACCGGAAAAAGCCUCGAAAGUUCUGGCCAAAAGUGAACUCUUCGAAACUCGGUCGUUUCACCUUCAAACUUCUCCCAAAUUAUAGUAGGAGCCUCGAGGAGUUUCGUAUAAACUUCCCCAAGCUUCAAAACUUCCUAACUCGCUCGAAAAUACGUCGAACUCAAUGUGCCCGAGUUCGAACUUCACGAGUUCAACAUUAAAAACUCGUCCAUCCUAAGUUUCAAGAACAUGGUUAUGUUAGUAAGGAUGAGGGGAGUACAAUGGUGUGGUUUUUAGGUUCGAUUUGAGAGUUUUGAAGCUCCCUAAGGGUUUUGCAGAGAAGAAGAGAAUACGGGAGAGAGAGAAGGAAGAGAGAGAGAGAUAGAGUUCCUUUUUAUGAGUUCUGAUUAAGGGACAGAAAUACGGGAAUGGAUGGGAUUGGUGAGUGUGUGAAAUAAUGGAGGAGGGUGUACGGGAUGGGCUAAGAAAAAGCUAGGGAUAGGGUUUAGAUUUUGUACAAAAAGUGAAUCUAAAAUCUAUCCGGAAUAGUGUUUUCACGCUGAUAAAAUUUACGUACACUCGUAACAACGUGUACCAUUUAAAUGUGAUAGCGAGAAAUAGAAUAAAAGCGAUAUGAAUACGUCCACGUCACUAGCCAAUAAGGGCAAAAUCGACAAUACACAUAUUCAGGGAGAAAUUACAUAAGAAAUUAGGGACGGGUCGUCAAACCAUAUUAAUUUAAUUCAGGGUACCUUAUUUGAAAGUUUGUACAUUUUCUUCAUGACCUAAAAAAUUUUCUCUCCUUAUGUGAGAGACAUUUUCUCCUUUCGUGAGAACCUUUCUCAUUUUAGUAUGAGUGGUCUUUUCGAUUAAACUAGUGUUAUUGCCGGCCCUAGCUACUGCUAGGGUCGGUGGUAGUCCCAUACUUUUUCUUCAUUUUUCUUUUCUCUUUGCUCUCCAUGUUGUCUACACUUUCCCCCAUCCAUGCAAAUAUCAGUUUCCUCAUCUGAAAUCUAUUUUUGCUUUUGAUCAUACCUUCUCGAACUCCAAUCCCCGGUCAUCUGCUUGCUUCAUCCUCCUUGAUCCAUCCCCUUCGAUACCCUUCCAUCCAUCUCCCUUCAUCUUUUUUUUCAUUAGUUGGCUCCGUCAUCUCUCUUUCCAUCAUCAUUUACCAAUCGAUUUCCACUUAUUUUCAAUGCGAUACUUCGCCAUUCUACGGGAGGGUGUGUAGAACUUUGGCUCGGGUGUUCACACCAC
rnacentral:lncRNA from 1 species